AAAGUCGUAACAAGGUAACCGUAGGUGAACCUGCGGUUGGAUCAUUAAAAAGAUCAAGCCCGAGGCCGUUAGGAUGCUUGCGUCCUCCUGAGCGCUAGGGCUUCUCGCUGAAAAAGUGAGUUAAACAUUAUGUGAACUGUUUUGUCUCUGGCGGUGGGGUGGUGUCAAAACCACCUGUCAGCAUCCGGGUUCUCUCGGUGUGCCGUGGACAAGCCGUCAAUGGUGUAUGUUUCAUACAAACUUUUGUUUCAUCAAUCUGUCUGACAUACCUUUGUAUCUAAAAUAUACAAAAACAACUUUUGGCAACGGAUCUCUUGGCUCCC
rnacentral:misc_RNA from 1 species